rnacentral:rRNA from 1 species
CUACGGGGUGCUCCAGUGGGGAAUUUUGCGCAAUGGGGGAAACCCUGACGCAGCAAUACCGCGUGAGUGAAGAAGGCCUUUGGGUCGUAAAGCUCUUUUCUUGGGGAAGAUAGUGACGGUACCCAAGGAAUAAGCACCGGCUAACUCCGUGCCAGCAGCCGCGGUAAUACGGAGGGUGCAAGCGUUGUUCGGAUUUACUGGGCGUAAAGGGCACGUAGGCGGCACAGCAAGUUAAGGGUGAAAUCCCGGGGCUCAACUCCGGAACUGCUCUUAAAACUGCUGAGCUAGAGAUAGUCAGAGGCGGGUGGAAUUCCAGGUGUAGAGGUGAUAUUCGUAGAUAUCUGGAGGAACACCGGUGGCGAAGGCGGCCCGCUGGGGCUAUUCUGACGCUAAGGUGCGAAAGCGUGGGGAGCAAACGGGAUUAGAUACCCGUGUAGUC